rnacentral:rRNA from 1 species
UGGGGAAUAUUGCGCAAUGGGCGAAAGCCUGACGCAGCGACGCCGCGUGAGGGAUGAAGGUUUUCGGAUCGUAAACCUCUGUCAGAAGGGAAGAAACUACAUUGUGCUAAUCAGCAGUGUACUGACGGUACCUUCAAAGGAAGCACCGGCUAACUCCGUGCCAGCAGCCGCGGUAAUACGGAGGGUGCAAGCGUUAAUCGGAAUUACUGGGCGUAAAGCGCACGUAGGCUGUAGUGUAAGUCAGGGGUGAAAUCCCACGGCUCAACCGUGGAACUGCCUUUGAUACUGCACAACUUGAAUCCGGGAGAGGGUGGCGGAAUUCCAGGUGUAGGAGUGAAAUCCGUAGAUAUCUGGAGGAACAUCAGUGGCGAAGGCGGCCACCUGGACCGGUAUUGACGCUGAGGUGCGAAAGCGUGGGGAGCAAACA